GGUGUUCCCCUGCUGGGCAGUGGAUGGGUGGGUUGAGGGCAGCAGAUUGCUCUUAUGGGCCAGUGAGACUGCUUCCACUUGGCCCGCCCACCUUCACUCCAGCGGCACGCGGGGGCGGGGUUGCCGCACCAUGGCAACCGGCCUCUGCGUCAGGGAAGUAAACUCCACCGGGCUUUCUAGUUUCCUCUCGCCACCAUCCCAAAGAGAUCUGAAGAUGUACAGCCAGCGGUUUGGCACUGUUCCAAGGGAAUUUAAGGGCCCUACUCCCAAAGCGGUGAUCAUAGUAAGUACAGGGGAUCUUUGCGCAGGGAAACUUAGGACUUUUUCAAUCUCCUGAUGGAGCCCGACCUGGCUGGGUUCCUUCACCUGGGACACAUCUGGGAUGCAGCGAGUUUUGAGGAAGAUAAGGUUGUUGCUCACCUAUCUAUCAUUAUAUCCAAACCCUUUCCCCCAACCCCCAGCUACAAUCACCACUUGGGACCUUGGUGUUUUUGUUUUUUCUUCAACAUUCCUCAAAUGAGAUCUGACUCCGUGCUGUGGGUGUGGAAGUAUUUUGGAAGGACACUAGGCCAGGAGGCAGUUUCCGUAUCUGUACUGCUUAUGGUUCAACAGUAUGACAUUGAAUUGGUCGUGUAACCCCAGGAAAAUAGUCUGUGGAAACAGAGUUGGGCUUUGAAUGCUGUGUGUGAUAAUUACGCUCCUUUGCUGGCUAAAUGAGUAACUGGCGUUGAACAGCAGUCCCCCUUCAGACCGGAAAUAAGCCAGGUAGUUGCCUCCUAGGACGGCCUGAUAAUUAGCCCAUAAGAAAGUAAUUUGAUGGGCUGGAGAGAUGGCUCAGUGGUUAAGAGCACUGUCUGCUCUUCCAGAGGUCCUGAGUUCAAUUCCCAGCAACCACAUGGUGGCUCAUAACCAUCUGUAAAGAGAUCUGAUGCCCUUGUCUGUACCUCGUGUGUAUCUGAAGACAAUUACAGUGGACUUAUAUAUAAUAAAUGAAUAAAUCUUUAAAAAAAAAAAAA
rnacentral:lncRNA from 1 species